AUUGCAAGAUUAGAAGGUUGUAGCAACAUCGUUGGUAUCAGCGGAAGUGAUGAGAAAUGUCAAUAUCUCACAGAACAACUAGGUUUCAAUCACGCAAUAAACUAUAAAACAGAGGACGUGGACGAGAAAUUAAAAGAAUCUUGCCCAAAUGGAAUAGAUAUCUAUUUUGAUAAUGUUGGUGGCGAGAUCAGUAAUACAGUCAUUAAACAGAUGAAUAUCAAUUCGCACGUUAUCCUGUGUGGUCAGAUAUCAGUUUAUAACAAAGACAUUCCGUUACCCACCACCAAUUCCACAAGAAAUCCUUGAAUACAUCGCAGAUAAAAAUAUCACAAGGGAGAGGUAUACAGUCUUGAAUUACAGAGAAAAAUUUCCCCAAACAAUGAUGCAGUUAAUGGAGUGGCUGAAGAAUGGAUUACUGAAGCAUCCAGAGACAGUGGCUGAAGGUUUGGAGCAGACUGGUGCGGCAUUUGUGUCCAUGAUGAAAGGUGGAAAUUUAGGAAAACAAAUCGUACAUGUUGCAGACCUGUGACUGAACUGAAAGUGUAGAAUCUAUCUCAAAAAAAACUAUAUUGAGAACUAUAUUGUGAUCAACUACAAGUAGGAUAGUGUAAAAUGGAUGAAAGUCUUCAUGUAUAUUAUGGACUCCAAUUUUCCUCUUCAUUAUUACCGGGGAACUAUUACCAUACUUACAUGUUCGGGUUGACCAUACUCAUAACUUAUGUACAAUAGUACUACUGUGGUAAUUUCUAAUUGCAAGACAAAUGAGACAAUGCAUGAAUGAAAAAAAAAAUAAUUUAUUGUCAACAUUUUCAAGAAUGGCAUUUCCCUAGUGAAAUGAAACAUAGUUUGGUUUCUUGUUUAACUGAUUCCUAUAUACAUCGCCACUAUCGGAAUUGGAGGUUUUGAUGAUGUCAUAAUCACACGAUAAUGUUAACCUCCAUUUGCAAGUAAAUUCAUUUCAACAAAAAAACAAAUUUAACUAAUUCUGUGAUGGUAGUGAUUUAUAAUAAUGAAUCCUGCACAGCAUCAUAUUGGAUUCAUAGAAGGGUCUAGACAUAUAAUGUGUACAGCUUAGUCUCAUAAAUUAUCUUGUCAUAAACCCUUCUCCUCGUCCAAUACAGCACUGUGGGGUUCAUUAUUGUUUUAAAACAUUAUUAUUAAAAUUGGACUGCCCCUAGGAAUUUAAGAACAUACAAAAAUACCCAACCCCAUCCUAAAGUGAAAAAAUUAUACAGUUAGAUGGUUUCUCUUGCAUUCUUAAAAUUACACAGAAUACAAAAAAAAACUUCUGUUAAU